UCUCUGCUUCGAUCCACGCCCUCUCUCUCUCUCUCUCGAUUGGAAGAAGGAGAGCUGCUAGAAGACCUCCUUAUUAUUCAGAUCCAGAUCCAAAUCAGUUCAAGGUAAGCUCGAUUCUAUUCAUUUCGCUCCUUCCGCUCCUUUUCUCUCGAUCUCAGUUUCUCGAAAAAGAGCUGAAACCCUAGUCUCCGCCCCUUUUCUCUCGAUCUCUCCUUUCAUUUCUCUGGCGAUUUCUGAUCUUUAAUGGAGAGAUUCAUACCCGGAAAGCUCGUAGAUGCGAAAAUACGUGUCUUCUGAACUCAGAAUCUUCAAUCGGCUGAAAUGGAAGCAGAUUCAGCUGCGGAAGCUCUUAGUUGUGAAGAUCUGUGAUUUCCGCAGCCUAGAUCUUCGAUCGAUGAUAUAUAUAGAAGCUGUGUUUACCUUAUUGGAAGGGAUAUCAAUCGAUCUAUGCUUCUUUUUUUGCCUGAUCGAGACAUUUCGAUUUUAGAAGAUCUGCGAUUUCUGAGGUUCUGAUCGUCGAUAUUUUAAGUGGGAGAGAUCUCCUGCCUUUUGCUCUGUUCUUUCAGAUCUAGGGAUUUUACUCGAAAGAAAGCUUUUACACACAUCAGCGGCUCAGAUAUCCUCUUUCGAGGUCUAGAUCUUUGAUCUGAUGCGAUUGGAGUGAUUGCAACUUCUGCCUUGAGCAAUUUACACUCUCAUCCUGCAUUUGGAGGUCAAGUCGUAUUUAUGUGUAUUUAUGUGUUUGACAUGCGAAAGAAUCCGAAGUGCUGUCUUGAAAUGAGGGUUGCAAAUUGGCAAAGGACAAUUGCAACAUUUUUUAGCUAUGUUAUGUCUGCUAUUGGAGGAAACAGUGCUGGUCCUGGUCGGUAUAUUAUAUUAGUAUUGCAGUUUCUUUCCUCUGUUCAUAUUUUGAGCAUGCUCUUGAUAUGGCUGCAACACUUCAUCACCAAUUAGGAGAUACUGACGAGCCAAAUGAUGGCAAUGCCUCAGUGAAGAAGAGAACUAAUGUGUUACUUCUUGGUGAUCGCCUUGGAGAUCUAGGAAUUUCUGAUGGUUUGAACUAUGAGAACCAAAUUGCUAUUGGAUUCUUGUGGAUGUUAACUUGGUUGGACUGCCUGCACUGGUGCUGUCAUGUGGAUUGAUUGAAGGUGGACCCGCCGGCCUUCCUGUUGGACUUCAAAUGAUUGGUGUUGCCUUUGAUGAGCUUUUCAACAUAUUUCAGAUGAUUUCCGAAAAUAUUAGGCAGACAUUCAAGUUUCAGCGACAAAAAGAACCCUAGAAAUUCAAUGUUCAGGCAAUCUUUACAUCUGUUUGAGGUAAUUCGCAUCUUUUUUGGUUCGAUCAAUUAGAAUAGAAUUUGAGAAUUUUUGGAUCGAUUGAUGAAGAUUUUUCUUCUUUUAUUUGCAUCACUAUUAAUUUCACGUGAAAUAUCUAGAAAUUGAGAUAUGACUGUCUUUGUGGGAUUUGAGAAAUUUAGAAAUGAAAGAUAAGUAUCUGAUAUGAUUUGUAUGUGAUUUUCUUUUGAUUCUGCGUGGAAGUAUCAUGUUGUAUGUGACUUGAUUGAUAUUUUUCCUUACUGAUUUAUGAUUUUAUUUCUAUUGAUUCCACAUGGACUAGCUUCCAUGUUUCUUGUGCAUAUGUUUCAGAACUUGGUUUGUACAGUAGCUUCUUUGUUUUGCAAUUAAGUUCAAAUUCGAACCUGUUUUCUUCUUCUUAUUGAUUAUUAGCACAGUAGUCGCAUGUUUCUCAAGUGCCUGUUUUUUUU